UUUGACCUGGGGAGGAAGAGGCCCUGUAUGGGGUAGGAGGUGCUAUAGGAGGAGCUGUAGGCAAAGUGCUAAAGAUGUGGGCUGAGCGGGAAAACCAGCAGAUUGAUAUUUGUAGGAGUUGAGAAAACAUCUUCUUCAUGACAGCAAGAAGCUUUGUCUUGUCUGUCCUGCCCCUGCAGCUGGAGCCCUUAAGGUAAUUGCUUAUCCUUCAUGGGUAGAGGGUUUAAGCACAUUAGGGGUUAAUCCCACUCCUUGAGCUCGGGGACAGUAUCUGAUUUGGAAGAGUUUAGAUUAGUGUGACUGGCUUUUAUUCCCCUCACAGGCACGGCAGUAAUGUAUUUUCUGCCUUUAUUGCCUGACUGAUAAGGGGACAUUUGACAGUUUGCUUCCAUUCAACUGCUGAGUUGGUAUGCGAGGUAUUUAUUGUCUCUAAUGAGGAGGGGGUUUUUCCCUGCACUGGGUCCGUGCUUGAAUCUGGCAAUCUGCAGUGUCAGCCUUUGCAGCACUAGAGAGUCUGUCUUGUCUCUCACAGGAUUAGUUUGGAGCAGCAGACUGAGAGCGGUAAGAGAAUGUUAGUGGCGUGCAUGGGGUUGUUAGUGCUGGGACAUAGAACACCGGUAUUUGCAGUCUGAGGAUUUUUUGGGUGUUUGAAUAUGUGAUAGAGGUACACCGGUAUUUGCAGUAGUGACUCUGGGGGCAUUAGGGCUGCACAGACCAUAUGCCUUUAUGGAGAUACAGCGCUGUUUAACUGAGGGGCCAGUGACUGCAACGGCUCCUAAUUGAUUUCAUGCAGCUCUGCUUGUUGUUACAGUUGGAGUAUGCUUGAACUCCCCUCUUUUCCCUUAGAUUGCCUGGUACUCACUAGCUUACAGUUUGGUUACUGACACGUGGGAUACAUGCCCCCUUUUAUUCUCAGGGUGACAUAAAAAACACUCGCUGCCAUUGUAGUGCUUUUAUUAGUUUGGCUGCUAUACUUGUGCAUGUGGGUGCGUGUCGUAGGGGAUUUUCUUUACAUUGGGCAUGGUGCUGCAUGCUGUCUUAAAUGUUAUGGGACAUAUUUCAGGUUUAUUGUGCUUGACUGUAUGGGGAGCACUUGCUAUGUGAGAUCCAGGGGCGGGGGUUAACCUUCCCGCCGCUGGUCCUUUUUGGCGCGAUAUCGCUCUGUGCUGGAUCAGUGGGGGGUAUAUAUUGUUGCAUUUAGUUAGUAAAAUAAAAACAGUGGCUGAUUAAGGGGAGGUGGAUGAUAUUCCUUAUGGGAUAUGCUACCCUAUGCUACCAGGAGGUUUUCUCUUUUAGAUGGGAAGUUUUUCGUUUUGUUGUUUUAUCUCCAUGUUGGUUUGGGCCAAUAAGGGGAUAUACAUAUUAUAUACAGUGUCAGUAUAACUUUAUUACUUGUUGUCAUGGUGUGCUGGUUUCACUCUCUGCUCUGCAUUCAGGGCUUGGAACAGUUUUGCUUAUUUUCUAAGAUUUCAUUUGUUUGUCUGCCAUCUAGUGGUGGUUAACUGUAUGUUGCUUAUAAUCUCAUUAAGGGUCAGUUUUGCCAAAAUAAUUGCAUUUUCUUGAUUUGGAUGUGGCUUGAAAUUCUAAACAACUUUCUAGUGGAAGUUUAUCAUUGGAUUUGCCUUUUUCCCUUGUUGGUAAUGUUGAAAAGCUAAACCUAAGUAGGCUCAAACUAAUUUUAUAAACUAUUGGAACCACCUCUUGGCUCAGAGCAAUUUGAAAGUUUGACACAGUUAGACAGACCUACAUACUGGGUUUCAUUUAGAUAACAUUGCGCUUACUCCCGUGGAGGUAUUUAGGAGUUGGCAAUGAGUGGCCAACCUGCAUGUCUGGCAAAGCACUGAGAUAAGGGAGCUGCCUGCAGAAGUUUAGAUAUAAGAUAAUCACAAAGGUAACACAUUUUAUUCCAGUUGGCAUUUUGCAAAACUUGGGAACAAGUAAGGGAUUAUCUAGUUUGUUUUAAAAAAAAAAUGGAAAUUAUGAUGUAGUCUGUGCCUUUAAAAUAAUUUUAUGUUUUCUUUCCUUUGGUGGAUAUAAUCAUGUGUAUGUGUUGUCAUAUAAAUGUAUUUCUAUAAUUUAUAGGAUUUAAUAUGUACAUUAGAUAAAUGGUCCAUGCAAUCAUUUAUCAUUUGAGAAUUAUUCUCUAGGGUUUUUUCCAAUUUAUUCCUCUGAAGGAUGUGUGUCAUGAUAUGGUGGGUAUUCUUUCAUUGUACGGGAGUUCAUAUGUUACAAUCUCUUUCAUUACAAAAGGGGUCACAGCACUGUCGGUGGCACCAUUACUUAUGUUAGGUAGUAUAAUGUGACACUAAUAGGGUACAGUUUUAGCAUAAGCCAAGAGGGUUGUACAUCAUCUUCCUAAGGGUAGACUGCAGCAGUAAAACUUUGUGCAGACCCUCUAAAAGUUUUGAUCUCUAAAAAAUUACCUUGGGUUCAGACUAACUUUAUAGCAUUGCAAGCUCUGUUGGUGCUUUGCAUAUGCCUGAUGAUGUGGAUACUAUGAUAUAUAUAUGUGUAUGGCGAUUGGAUAUCGCCCUCUUUCGGAGGAUACUCGGAUCUUGCAUUGCAACUAUGAAUUUACUGUUUUGAGAUCACUAAUAUGAUUGUGGUAUUUCCUCUGGUGAGGGGAUUUCCGUGUCGGCGUCGGGUCCUAUUGGUAGUAUUUAACAUACUUUUAUCUUGAAGGGACAAUUUUACUCAGGGUGUUUUCCACCUGUGGUUUUCCCAGGGGUCCACUCUGCCUGGUGGGAUGUAUUGAAUUGUCACAAGUAUUUCAAUUACCCUUAUAUAGGUUGAUGUAAAAGGGUAAUUCCACUAUAGUAUACCCAACCAUCCUUAGAUUUGGCAUCAAGGCCAAACUGUGUUGACAUAGCUUGUAGUGGACAUUGCACUCCCAGUGGGGUAAGGAGGAGAUGGGGUAAUAAAGUGUUAAUUUCACAUUGUUCUAUACAAGUAUUGGGAUCAGUUUGUGGCCACUAGGUACACAAUGUGAUACAGUAAGGAGAUCGGAUUAUACCUACAGAUAUAAGAUACAGACACAUGUAUAUGUACACAAUGUGAUACAGUAAUGAGAUCUGAUUAUACCUACAGAUAUGGGAUACAGAUGCAGGUAUAUGUACACAAUGUGAUACAGUAAUGAGAUCUGAUUAUACCUACAGAUAUACCAUAAAGACACAUGUAUAUGUACACAAUGUGAUACAGUAAUGAGAUCUGAUUAUACCUACAGAUCUCAUAUAAAGCCACAUGUAUAUGUACACUAUGUGAUACAGUAAUGAGAUCUGAUUAUACCUACAGAUAUAAGAAAAAGACACAUGUAUAUGUACACAGUGUGAUAACGUAAUGAGGUCUGAUUAUACCUACAGAUAUAAGAUACAGACACAUGUAUAUGUACACAAUGUGAUACAGUAAUGAGAUCUGAUUAUACCUGCAGAUAAGAUAAAGACACCGGUAUAUGUCCACUUUAAUACAUGGAAUCAGCUGGUUCAUGUACGUGAAUGAGCCAUAAAGGAGCAAAGGUGAUACUUGUUAUCCUGUAUGGGUUUCUAUUUGCCUGGCCUGCCAAUACCCUUGCCUGUCAUGCAUCAGGGAUGAUGUUAUAGAAUGGCUGAAGAUUGUGGCUGGGGGGUGGUGUCAGCAGGGACAUAGUAUCUGCUCCCCCCCCCACCCCUAAUCACACGGUCAUUGAAUUGUUGAGGGCAGUUGGAUUGCUAUGGCUGUGUUUACAUGGGUUGAUGGGAGCGAUGCACAUCCCUGGUUUUAUAACUCACUGGCCAUUGCAUUUUCGAAUUUCUGGUGGCAUCGCUCCUUGGAGUUCUCGCCAUGGGCGAACGGAGUAGGGAGAGUAUUCCCGGUGUGGCUUCAGUAGCACGAAAACGGGGUUCACCUAUGAUAAAAUUUUGAGCGGAAUGGAAUGGAUUGAUUUAAGUUAGGGGCAUUGGAGAUGGUGUCAAUUCAGGUGUUGGGGUUUUUUUGCUACAAGGGUUGUGGAGGAUGGGACUCCUGCUGAUUUGUCACCUGGGAUAUAUGGCUGGGUUAUGUGGCACGUGGCUACCACGGUUUCAAAGUGUUCAUUUUCCUUGAGAAUUUGGGCAGCCACUGAAGCUGCUGUAGGGAGUUUGGUGGCAAAAGGUGUGGGUAAGUGGAGGUUAUUCUAGGCUCUUUUGUUGGAGGGUGUCUAGUAUUUUGGGUGUUUCAUUUGUUUAUGGUUGUUCCGUUCAGAUUGUCGUAGUUCUGGUAAACAUGUGGGUAGUGGGCCGAUUUAUUAUUAUUUGUCCCUGGUGUGUGGCUCUGGUUGAGAAGGAGGGCCUCCAGCCUGGGUUUUUGAUAAGCAGCAAUACUAUUGGAGGGUUUGGAGUACGGGGCCCCCAUAUUGGCUUGCAUGUUGCCGCCGGUGGUGGUUUACGCUGAAUUGUUCCAGUAUAGGGGGGUACUAGUGGUCCAGGCCAGGGUAAUGAUUUUGGUUGACUCGGGGAAGCCUGGUGAGUAAGAUUAAGGUGGUGUGGGGAAGUUUUUUGGGAGCUUUUCCAGGGUUUUAACCGUUGUAUGGUCUACCAUGGUUACGAGAUUGGUUGGGGGAUGGAAUGGCUCCAUUAUGGCCUUACCAGGAGGCAGGAGCUGAACAAGCUGGUUGCAGCCUUAUGCGUGGAGUGCAAUGUGUGGUGGGUUAGCCUCCCCAUGGGGUGGGCGAGCAGGUUAAGUAGCUUCUUGGACACGGGGUUCCUUGGAGCUUGGGGUUUGUAAAGAAAUAACAGGCUUAUUUAAGUCCAGGUGAAUUUAUAUACGGCCCGGUCAACAAGUAAAUGGAGGUUAGUGAAUUAAGUUUGGGAGCUAGCAUCUUCAUAGUUGGCUGAGUUUACAUGGUUAAGGAGUUAUGUAUUUGGUGUCUUUUAAACUUGUUAUUUACUAAACGGGCUGUGGCCAGUAUUUUUUCAAACAUAAGGUGUCUGUGUAUUCUUUAAGUGUUGAAUGCUUAAAAAUUUGUCAAGGGGAUGUUAAUCGACGGCUCAUGGGGUCUAGUAAAUAGGAUCAUGGGGGCAUUUGUGCAGAGACUUGGUGUGGUGGUGGACUACUCAGACUUAGCUGAGGUUGGAUUGGGUGAGUUCUAUCUGCCCGAUGGGGUGCAUUUGAAUGACUGUGGUCUGCAGCUGUUUAUCUUUAAUUUUAAGGAGGCACUGUGUGCGGUUGGAGGGUUGGCGGGACUGGGCUGAGGCGUCAGGCCAGUCGGUGGCGGGGGUGCUAGCCCUUAAAUUACAGAACAAUUAUGGCCAAUGGUUAAGUGUGGUGGUAUUUUGCAUUCCCAUGGGGGAAUUCAAGAUGGGGGUUUCUAAGGGCACGGGGUUCCUUAGAAACUUAUAUGGAUGAUCGCUGACGGGCCCAACCACUUGCACGGUUGGGUCCAGUAAAAGGAAUUACGGCCAUAGUUAAAAGAUAUGGAAAUCAAGAAGGACUAGCACCGCUGUUGGUUGAUGUGUAAAAUGUUUACAGUUAUUUGCACUUUUAUUUAUCGAGUUAUUAAAGUUUUUACAAAGUUUUAUUGAAUAAAGGGCUGCGGCCAAUUUGUACCAAAGCUAAGUCUGUUGUCUGUUAUUUAUGAGGGUGGUUGUUGGAAGGAUGGUAUGGGGGUGUUUCGUGGGGUUUAAGGGGCCGGAGCUUGACGACAUAAAAGGUCAAGUGGCUCCUGGAGGCGGGGCGAAGCAUAGAUAGAGGGAGCUUUGACCUGGGGAGGAAGAGGCCCUGUAUGGGGUAGGAGGUGCUAUAGGAGGAGCUGUAGGCAAAGUGCUAAAGAUGUGGGCUGAGCGGGAAAACCAGCAGAUUGAUAUUUGUAGGAGUUGAGAAAACAUCUCCCUCCCACCCAUCCCUGAUAUUUGUGUGAGAGGCGUGUUUUAUAUUUGUCAUUUUAGGUUUUUGUCGCAGUUGGAAGGCGGGGGUGCUAGCCCUUAAAUUACAGAACAAUUAUGGCCAAUGGUUAAGUGUGGUGGUAUUUUGCAUUCCCAUGGGGGAAUUCAAGAUGGGGGUUUCUAAGGGCACGGGGUUCCUUAGAAACUUAUAUGGAUGAUCGCUGACGGGCCCAACCACUUGCACGGUUGGGUCCAGUAAAAGGAAUUACGGCCAUAGUUAAAAGAUAUGGAAAUCAAGAAGGACUAGCACCGCUGUUGGUUGAUGUGUAAAAUGUUUACAGUUAUUUGCACUUUUAUUUAUCGAGUUAUUAAAGUUUUUACAAAGUUUUAUUGAAUAAAGGGCUGCGGCCAAUUUGUACCAAA